rnacentral:misc_RNA from 1 species
GCCCUCGGCGUUCACAUCAGACGCAAUUCCGACACGGCGGCAGUCGUACGUUCCGCGAUCACACGCACACACCGCGACAUUUUACCUUUUACACACUGAACACACCACCUUAACCACCACCAUCACUACCACCUCCACCACCUCAGUCACCACACGUACCCAAACCCUUACAGACACACCACACACCGUUCCAAGUCCCUUUUUGUUUUUUUACGAUUGUUAUCAUUUUCGCGUAUUUUACACCGAUUAAUAAAAAAAUAAUUUAAACAUCGAUCGAUUGUCAAUCUUAGACUCAAUCUCCAUUUUUCUCUUUGACCGUCGCGUGUGUGUACACCCACCCCACAAAGAAUAUAAUUUAACACAAAUCGAAAUACCGCCGAAACGACUGUGUACGAUCGACCGUCUCCACCGACCCUGCAGUAGUGACCUGCCGUCGCCACUGAGUCUACUAACUAUCGUCUUCUUCUUAGUCGUCGUCUGGAACCGAAAGCACGAUACCACCGAUCAGCUGCUACAGGAAACCGUGCCGGUCCACGGUAGUGACCACAUGUUGGCGCUGGUAGUGGUCGUCAAGCAGCAUUACACCCACCCGGUUGAAUCGUGGAGGCCGUCGCCGUUGGAGGGUUGAAGAGGGCCCGAGGUGGUGCGUACAACGGACCGGAGGCCGCCGCCGCCACCCUCAAGAAGCUCAGACUGGACGCCGCCACAGCCGCCGCAGCCGCAGCCGCAGCCGCAGCGAUGAACAUGUCGCCAACAGGUCACACGCCACCGCUGCAAGUCCAACAACAGCAGGGACCUGGCAGCGUGUCGGUUGACGGCCAGCAGUCCGUCGUUUCUGGCAUGUGCAACAGCAUCGAUUCCGUCGGGCCCGGCGAGGAAGAGGUGAGAACAUUAUUUGUCAGUGGUCUACCAAUGGACGCCAAGCCACGUGAACUGUACUUGCUGUUUCGAGCAUAUGAGGGUUAUGAAGGAUCUCUGUUAAAAGUCACAAGCAAAAAUGGCAAAACAGCUUCGCCAGUGGGUUUUGUUACGUUCCAGACACGCGCUGGCGCCGAGGCCGCCAAACAAGACCUUCAGCAGGGCGUCCGGUUCGAUCCCGACAUGCCGCAAACCAUACGGCUAGAAUUCGCUAAAAGCAACACGAAGGUUAGCAAGCCAAAACAGCCCGCCAACGCAAACGUCACGCCCAACACGCACCAAGGCCUGAUGCACCCGCUCACCGGACAUCUAGGCGCCCCAUUCUUCACCGGUGCUCCGGCAGAGUUAUGGCAUCAUCCGUUGGCGUAUGCUGAUAUGCCGACCGCAGCCACGGCCACGGCUUUACAACACGCAGCUCUUGUCCAUCCGGGACUACAUCCACAUCCUCAACAGAACGAGUUACAGUCAGUCAAAGCAGACGUUUAAUUAUUGGCCGACCGCCUAUAAAUGAAGACAUUGAUAAACGUAUUUCUCUAUACCCAUGUACAUAAGAAAACAUAUUAUAAGGGAGUAUGCUGGCCAAAAGAAAUUGGACAACGUCAAUUUCACGUAUACUCACAUGCAGUUGAACAACACCUGACAACUACAAGAUAGACCACGAGUACCUGCCCAAGUCUAGAUAACGCGCGACACGA